CGAACGCGACCCCAGGUCAGGCGGGAUCACCCGCUGAGUUUAA
rnacentral:rRNA from 2 species